UGGGGAAUAUUGGACAAUGGGCGCAAGCCUGAUCCAGCAAUACCGCGUGUGUGAAGAAGGCCCUCGGGUUGUAAAGCACUUUCAGUAGAGAGGAAAAGCCUGGAGUUAAUACCUCCGGGUCUUGACGUAACCUACAGAAGAAGCACCGGCUAACUCCGUGCCAGCAGCCGCGGUAAUACGGAGGGUGCGAGCGUUAAUCGGAAUUACUGGGCGUAAAGCGCGCGUAGGCGGUUAUGUAAGUCGGAUGUGAAAGCCCCGGGCUUAACCUGGGAACUGCAUUCGAAACUGCAUGACUGGAGUAUGGGAGAGGGAAGUGGAAUUUCCGGUGUAGCGGUGAAAUGCGUAGAUAUCGGAAGGAACACCAGUGGCGAAGGCGACUUCCUGGCCCAAUACUGACGCUGAGGUGCGAAAGCGUGGGGAGCAAACAGGAUUAGAUACCCCCGUAGUCC
rnacentral:rRNA from 1 species